CCUACGGGGGGCUGCAGUGGGGAAUAUUGGGCAAUGGACGCAAGUCUGACCCAGCAACGCCGCGUGAGGGAAGAAGGCUUUCGGGUUGUAAACUUCUUUUAAGGGGGAAGAGCAGAAGACGGUACCCCUUGAAUAAGCCACGGCUAACUACGUGCCAGCAGCCGCGGUAAUACGUAGGUGGCAAGCGUUGUCCGGAUUUACUGGGUGUAAAGGGCGUGCAGCCGGAGUGACAAGUCAGAUGUGAAAGCCACGGGCUCAACCCGUGAACUGCAUUUGAAACUUUUUGCCUAGAGUGUCGGAGAGGUAAGCGGAAUUCCUAGUGUAGCGGUGAAAUGCGUAGAUAUUAGGAAGAACACCAGUGGCGAAGGCGGAUUACUGGACGAUAACUGACGGUGAGGCGCGAAAGCGUGGGGAGCAAACAGGAUUAGAUACCCCAGUAGUC
rnacentral:rRNA from 1 species